CACAAAAGUUAAUACACACAGGGAGAGAGGAAGACCAGGUGAGACGGAGGGAAAGGUCAGAGAGAGAAAGACCAGGUGAGAUGGAGGGAAAGGUCAGAGAGAGAAAGACCAGGUGAGACGGAAGGAAAGGUCAGAGAGAGAAAGACCAGGUGAGACGGAAAGAAAGGUCAGAGAGAGGACAACCAGGUGAGACGGAGAGAAAAGUCAGACAGAGGAAGAACAGGUGAGAUGGAGGGAAAGAUCAGAGAGAGAAAGACCAGGUGAGAUGGAGGGAAAGGUCAGAGAGAGAAAGACCAGGUGAGAUGGAGGGAAAGGUCAGAGAGAGGAAGACCAGGUGAGAUGGAGGGAAAGGUCAGAGAGAGAAAGACCAGGUGAGAUGGAGGGAAAGGUCAGAGAGAGGAAGACCAGGUGAGACGGAGAGAAAAGUCAGACAGAGGAAGAACAGGUGAGAUGGAGGGAAAGAUCAGAGAGAGGAAGAACAGGUGAGAUGGAAGGAAAGGUCAGAGAGAGGAAGACCAGGUGAGACGGAGGGAAAGGUCAGAGAGAGGAAGAACAGGUGAGAUGGAGGGAAAGAUCAGAGAGAGGAAGAACAGGUGAGAUGGAAGGAAAGGUCAGAGAGAGGAAGACCAGGUGAGACGGAGGGAAAGGUCAGAGAGAGGACAACCAGGUGAGACGGAGGGAAAGGUCAGACAGAGGAAGAACAGGUGAGAUGGAGGGAAAGAUCAGAGAGAGGAAGAACAGGUGAGAUGGAAAGAAAGGUCAGAGAGAGGACAACCAGGUGAGACGGAGAGAAAAGUCAGACAGAGGAAGAACAGGUGAGAUGGAGGGAAAGAUCAGAGAGAGGAAGAACAGGUGAGAUGGAAGGAAAGGUCAGAGAGAGUAAGACCAGGUGAGACAGAAGGAAAGGUCAGAGAGAGGAAGACCAGGUGAGACGGAGGGAAAGGUCAGAGAGAGGACAACCAGGUGAGACGGAGGGAAAGGUCAGAGAGAGGAAGAACAGGUGAGACGGAGGGAAAAGUCAGACAGAGGAAGAACAGGUGAGAUGGAGGGAAAGAUCAGAGAGAGGAAGAACAGGUGAGAUGGAAGGAAAGGUCAGAGAGAGGAAGGCCAGGUGAGACGGAGGGAAAGGUCAGAGAGAGGACAACCAGGUGAGACGGAGGGAAAGGUCAGACAGAGGAAGAACAGGUAAGAUGGAAGGAAAGGUCAGAGAGAGGAAGACCAGGUGAGACGGGCUGAAGGGUCAGAGAGAGGAAGAACAGGUGAGAUGGAGGGAAA